UGGCGCUCCAUGGCCAGGCGGAAAUCCUCCUUCACGCCCUUGGUGAUACCCCGUGUGACUGUGUGGUGCCUGAGGGCAGCAAUAGGGAAACAGAAGACACCAGGGUUAGAUCCAGCAUCACUGCUCCGGACACAUGGAUUCCCCUGCUGACCUCUACCCAAGUCAGUUAUACUGGCUGAACUGGGUGCAGACCAUCUUGGCUGCAGAAGGAGGAAGGCUGAAGAAGGCAGCCAGGCUGAGCUCAGGCUGCUGGCCCUCAGUUGGGGCUCAGGGAGGGUUGAGGGCCUGGGCACAAUCUCCAGGCAGUAAGCAUGUCAGUCUCCUCGUGGUGCCAGGACAGGAGAGCACCGCUGUCUGAGUGCUGAGCCCAUCCAGACUCAGGUGGGGAGGUUCAAUCUGUUCAGCUGCUCAGGAGUCCUGCCUGUUUGUGGAAGGGUCAGUUGGAGUACCAGCAAGGUCUCUAACUGUACCUUAAAAGCUGCGCUUUAGAGGAGAAAAACAAAGGAAAC